UACGUAGGGUGCGAGCGUUGUCCGGAAUUAUUGGGCGUAAAGGGCUCGUAGGCGGUUUGUCGCGUCGGGAGUGAAAACCUCGGGCUUAACUCGGGGCUUGCUUUCGAUACGGGCAGACUGGAGGUAUGCAGGGGAGAACGGAAUUCCUGGUGUAGCGGUGAAAUGCGUAGAGAUCGGGAGGAACACCCGUGGCGAAGGCGGCCAACUGGGCCGGACCUGACGCUGAGGCGCGAAGGCGUGGGAGGCGAACGGG
rnacentral:rRNA from 1 species